UACGUAGGGAGCGAGCGUUGUUCGGAAUUAUUGGGCGUAAAGAGCGCGUAGGCGGCUUGGCAAGUCCGUUGUGAAAUCCCAUAGCUUAACUGUGGAACUGCGACGGAAACUGCCUCGCUAGAGUGCGGGAGAGGAGAGUGGAAUUCCCAGUGUAGAGGUGAAAUUCGUAGAUACUGGGAGGAACACCGGUGGCGAAGGCGGCCCCCUGGACAGAUACUGACACUCAGAUGCGAAAGCGUGGGGAGCAAACAGG
rnacentral:rRNA from 1 species